AAGGAAGAGAAAAUAAAAUAGGCCUUAGACCUAAAUUUAUGACUGGAGAUUCUAGAGUGUAUUUCAGACUCUUUAUGUGGCACUGGAGAAAGGAAAUAUAAACAUUUCUCUUGCCACAAUAUUAUUCUAAAAAAAAAAGAAGCAACUAACAGUGGGAAUUGUGUCUAGAGCAGUGGCUACACUGCAAGAUGAAAGUAAGAUGAAAAUAUCCCAGUGUAGCUAUUAACCUAACAUGAGAAGAGAUAAUAAGAAAAGUUCAGUACCAAAUACAGGUUACUGGUGAUGACUCUGGCAGAAGAGGCAUGCUCUGGAUCCUGUCAGCCAAGGAUCUGUGGCUAGUGGGGUCUGGAAGAUCUUUUUUUUUUUUUUGCCAUGGAUGAGAUCUGCCGUGAUCUUCCGAAAGGGUCUGAAAAUCUGGCUCUUCCAACUGACUUGGGGUCCUGAUGGGGGGUCCCAUUCGGGGGGUUGGUUAAUAGAUUAGACUUAAGAUUUCACAUUGACCCAAUUUACACAUUGGUUCUUUUAUCAGGUUCACUGUUAAUGUUAAUGUUUUUAAUUUUAAUGUUUACAGUUUUAAUAUUUUUAAAUUUUUAAUUGUCUACAUUGUUAUUAAUGAUACUGCAAGACAUGCAAAGCCACAAUAAUGAGAUAGAUGGCAUAAAUAAAUAUAUUACUUAUAUAUAAUAAAUAAACAAAUGUAAAUAAUCUCAUAAUAUGAAUUUAACCUUACUAGAUUGCAUUGGUGGGAGUAUAAGAAAAUGGAUACAUAGUUCUUUUAUCUAGCCAUCUUUCAUAUUGAGUCCUGUUAUUGUUUUAAUGUAUUGUCCUUAUCUCUCAAAGACUUAAAUAUGUAUUUAAUUCAAUAAGUACAGAAAAUUGUUCCAACCAAAUUAAGAAAUAGCAAAAAAGCUCUGAGAAGUUUAGUUAACAAUAAAUAUAUUCAAAUUUAUAAGCAAUGUUAAAUUCACAAUGUUUCU